rnacentral:rRNA from 1 species
CCUACGGGUGGCAGCAGUGAGGAAUAUUGGUCAAUGGCCGGAAGGCUGAACCAGCCAUGCCGCGUGAAGGUCAGUGCCCUAUGGGCGUUAAACUUCUUUUGUGCGGGAGCAAUAAUGGUCACGUGUGGCCAGACGAGAGUACCGUACGAAUAAGCAUCGGCUAACUCCGUGCCAGCAGCCGCGGUAAUACGGGGGAUGCAAGCGUUAUCCGGAUUUAUUGGGGUUAAAGGGUGCGUAGGCUGUGAGGUAAGUCAGCGGUGAAAUGCCCCCGCUCAACGGGGUGAAGUGCCAUUGAUACUGCCUUGCUGGAAUGCGGAUGCCGUGGGAGGAAUGUUUGGUGUAGCGGUGAAAUGCAUAGAUAUCACACCGAACACCGAUUGCGAAGGCAUCUCACGAAUCCGCGAUUGACGCUGAUGCACGAAAGCGUGGGUAUCAAACCGGAUUAGAUACCCGGGUAGUC